rnacentral:rRNA from 1 species
AGGGAGUGAGGGCGCGGGUGCUAAGGUCCGUGUCCGAGAGGAGAAGAAUCCAGACCACCGGCUAAGGCCCCCAAAUGAUCGUUGAGUUGAACUAACGAGGUCGGAUCGCAGAGACAGCUAGGAUGUUGGCUUGGAAGCAGCCAUUCAUUUAAAGAGUGCGUAACAGCUCACUAGUCGAGCGAUCUGGCGUGGAUAAUAAUCGGGCAUAAACGAUCUGCCGAAGCCGUGGAUGUCGUAAGACAUGGUAGGGGAGCAUUCCAUGCGGCGUCGAAGAUGAGGGAUGACCCUUGUUGGAGCGCAUGGAAAAGCAAAUGUAGGUAUGAGUAACGAUAAGGGGGGCGAGAAACCCCCCCGCCGAAAGACCAAGGUUUCCUGAUCAACGCUAAUCGGAUCAGGGUGAGUCGGGACCUAAGGCAAAGCCGAACGGCGCCGCCGAUGGAAGAAUGGGUUAAUAUUCCCAUACUGCCUCAUGGAGUGACGUGGAGACGGAGAAGUGACAGUCCUGCCGGCUGACGGAAUAGCCGGUUGAAGGGUGUAGAUAUUGAUUCCCGUAGGCAAAUCCGCGGGGAGAGUCGAACCUGACAGUAUACCGAGUACUUGUACGAGGUAAUAUGGACGUAACCAUGCUCCCAAGAAAAUCCGCUAAACUUAUCCAUGCGGCACCCGUACCGUAAACGGACACACGUGGUCGGGUUGAGAAUACUGAGGCGCUCGAGUGACUCACGGUUAAGGAACUAGGCAAAUUGACCCUGUAACUUCGGGAUAAAGGGUCCUCGUCGUAAGGCGAGGCGCAGAGAAUAGGUCCAGGCAACUGUUUAACAAAAACACAUGGCUAUGCUAAAUGGAAACAUGACGUAUAUAGCCUGACACCUGCCCGGUGCUGGAAGGUUAAGAGGAGAUGUCAUCGCAAGAGAAGCGUUGAAUUGAAGCCCCAGUAAACGGCGGCCGUAACUAUAACGGUCCUAAGGUAGCGAAAUUCCUUGUCGGGUAAGUUCCGACCUGCACGAUCCUAAGGUAGCGAAAUUCCUUGUCGGGUAAGUUCCGACCUGCACGAAUGGUGUAAUGAUCUGGACACUGUCUCAACCGUGAACUCGGUGAAAUUGUAGUAUCGGUGAAGAUGCCGAUUACCCGCAACGGGACGGAAAGACCCCGUGAACCUUUACUGCAACUUAACAUUGAAUUUGGGUAACUGAUGUGUAGGAUAGUCCGGAGACAGAGAAAUGGAUACGCCAGUAUUCAUGGAGUCACCCUUGAAAUACGGACCUUUGGUUAUUUGAGUUCUAACCCGUGGAAAAUGGGGACACUGUUUGGUGGGUAGUUUGACUGGGGUGGUCGCCUCCAAAAGCGUAACGGAGGCUUCUAAAGGUACCCUCAGGCCGAUUGGUAACCGGCCGAAGAGUGUAAUGGCACAAGGGUGCUUGACUGAGAGACCGACAAGUCGAUCAGGUAGGAAACUAGAGCAUAGUGAUCCGGUGGUUCCGUAUGGAAGGGCCAUCGCUCAAAGGAUAAAAGGUACUCCGGGGAUAACAGGCUGAUCGCUCC